rnacentral:rRNA from 1 species
UUGCCAGACUCCUACGGGAGGCAGCAGUGAGGAAUAUUGGUCAAUGGGCGAGAGCCUGAGCCAGCCAAGUCGCGUGAGGGAAGGCGGUCCUAUGGAUUGUAAACCUCUUUUGCCGGGGAGCAAAAAGCGGUACGUGUACCGCAUCGAGAGUACCCGGAGAAAAAGCAUCGGCUAACUCCGUGCCAGCAGCCGCGGUAAUACGGAGGAUGCGAGCGUUAUCCGGAUUUAUUGGGUUUAAGGGGUGCGCAGGCGGCGGGUUAGGUCAGGGGAAAAUUUGGGGGCCUCACCCCCGGCGAGCCGUUGAAACUGGCUUGCUAGAGUGGGCGAGAAGUAUGCGGAAUGCGUGGUGUAGCGGUGAAAUGCAUAGAUAUCACGCAGAACUCCGAUUGCGAAGGCAGCAUACCGGCGCCCAACUGACGCUCAGGCACGAAAGCGUGGGUAUCGAACAGGAUUAGAUACCCUGGUA